AUGAGUUCCAUAUGUAUUUUGGGUAUUAACCCUUUAUCUGAUGCAUCAUUGGCAAAUAUGCUCUCCCAUUCAGUGGGCUGUCUUUUUAUUUUGCUGAUGGUUUCCUUUGCUGUGCAAAAGCUUUUCAGUUUGACAUAGUCCCACUUGUUUAUUUUUUCCUUUU